ensembl:misc_RNA Y_RNA Y RNA
AGCUGGUCUGAAGGUACUGAGUUAUCUCAAUUGAUUGUUCACCAUCAGUUACAGAUCAAACUCCUUGUUCUACUCUUUCCCCCCUUCUCACUACUGCUCUUGACUAGUCUUUG